GACGAACGCUGGCGGCGUGCUUAACACAUGCAAGUCGAACGGAAAGGCCCUGCUUUUGUGGGGUGCUCGAGUGGCGAACGGGUGAGUAACACGUGAGUAACCUGCCCUUGACUUUGGGAUAACUUCAGGAAACUGGGGCUAAUACCGUAUAGGAGCUCCUGCUGCAUGGUGGGGGUUGGAAAGUUUCGGCGGUUGGGGAUGGACUCGCGGCUUAUCAGCUUGUUGGUGGGGUAGUGGCUUACCAAGGCUUUGACGGGUAGCCGGCCUGAGAGGGUGACCGGCCACAUUGGGACUGAGAUACGGCGCAGACUCCUACGGGAGGCAGCAGUGGGGAAUAUUGUACAAUGGGCGGAAGCCUGAUGAAGCAACGCCGCGUGCGGGAUGCCGGCCUUCGGGUUGUAAACCGCUUUAGCCUGUGACGAAGCGUGAGUGACGGUAAUGGGUAAAGAAGCACCGGCUAACUACGUG
rnacentral:rRNA from 1 species